ACUUAAUUAGUGGAUAGUAUGAAUGGUAUAACGAAUAAAAUUAAGUUUUAAAUUUAAUAGUUUAAAUUAAUAUAUAAGUCAAAAAGCUUAUUUAAAAUUUAGGGACAAGAAGACCCUAUCAAAGUUUGAUUUUAAAUUUUUUAUUAAUUAACAAAUAUAAAUUUUAUUGGGGUAAUACUAUAAGACAAAAUUUUAUAGAAUAUAAUUUUUAGAUAAGAAAUAAGAUAUAUUAUUAAUAUUUAUUAGAUUAAAUUACUUUAGGGAUAACAGCACAAUUAAAGUUUGAAAGUUCAUAUUUACAAUUUUGAUUAUGACCUCGAUGUUG
rnacentral:rRNA from 1 species